rnacentral:rRNA from 1 species
GGUUGCGAUCAUACCAGCACUAAUGCACCAGAUCCCAUCAGAACUUCGCAGUUAAGCGUGCUUGGGCGAGAGUAGUACUAGGAUGGGUGACCCCCUAGGAAGUCCUCGUGUUGCAACCCC